CGCCGCAGGGGCCCCGCGGAGGAGCCUGGGCUGCCGCGAGACCCCGGCCCGGAGAAGCCGGCCCUCCCCGCCGUCCAUCCCCCCUUGUCUCCCUUCGCCCUACGUGGUCGCCGCUCGCGGGCCCGACCGGCUCAGCUUCUCAUCUUUCUUCGUCAUGUACUAUGGCAUUUUCUGUGGUUUAGUCAAAAAGCCAUGUAAGUUGCCUGUCCUUUGAAGACCGCUUUUAAGGCCUCUGAUAAGACAGCUGCCAUAUUGAAAGUUUUAAAGAAUAUAACGUGUGUAUUAUAACAGAAGGAAAAAUGGAAGUAUUCCAGGAGCUUCGUAAGCCAUCAGCACGUUUGGAGUGUGACCACUGCAAUUUCAGGGGCUCAGAUUAUGAAAAUGUACAAAUCCAUAUGGGUACCAUCCAUCCCGAAUUUUGUGAUGAAAUGGAUGCUGGUGGCUUAGGUAAAAUGAUUUUUUACCAGAAAAGUGCAAAGCUGUUUCACUGCCAUAAGUGCUUCUUCACCAGCAAGAUGUACUCCAAUGUGUAUUAUCAUAUCACGUCCAAACACGCAGCCCCUGAGAAAUGGAAUGAUAAACCAAAACAUCAGCUGAACAAAGAAAUAGAUCUUGGAAAAAGCCCUCCUCUUCCUGAGCAACAGAAAAUACCCUCUAAUUCAGCAGAACUGAAACCUGUACUCGUCCUUUCUGUAGAAACUCAGAAACUUGGCCCAGAAUCCCCAAAGCCUACUCCUGUUACUCCCCUGGAGCCUCAGAAACCUGACCCUGUUGUUUCUUCUGAGCCACAGACACCUUCCCUUACUUCUUCUGAGCCUCCAAAACCCGCUUCUGUUUCUUCACCUGAACUUCCAAACCCAGUUCCUGUUGUUUCUGAAUCUCAGAAACCUGUCCCCGUUCCUUCUCCAGAACCACAGAAACUUGCCCCUGUGUCUACUGAAGCAGUAAAGACUGCUCUUAUUAAUACCAAGUCCCAGAAACAUUCUCAUUUCCCAGAAACACUGGGGUCACCUUCAGCUUCAUCUCCAGAGUCACCAGUUCUAGCUGCUUCCCCUGAACCUUGGGGUCCAUCCCCUACUGCAUCUCCAGAAUCUCGGAAAUCAGCCCAGACUGUCUCCCCUGAGCCCAGGAAGCCAUCCCCAUCUGAGUCUCCUGAAUCUUGGAAGUCAUUUCCUGCUGUCUCCUCGGAACCUAGGAGACCAGCCCCAGCUGUGUCACCUGGUUCUUGGAAGGCAGGGCCACCCGGGUCUCCUAGACCUUGGAAAUCUAGUCCGUCAGCACCAUCAGGACCUUGGAAACCAGCUAAGCCUGCUCCAUCUGUGUCGCCUGGACCUUGGAAACCAAUUCCUUCUGUAUCACCUGGACCUUGGAAACCAACUCCAUCUGUGUCCCCUUCAUCCUGGAAAUCUUCAUCGGUGUCUCCUAGUUCCUGGAAAUCUCCUCCUGCAUCCCCUGAAUCAUGGAAGUCUGGCCCACCAGAACUCCGAAAGACAACUCCCACCUUGUCACCUGAACAUUGGAAGGCAGUUCCCCCAGUGUCUUCUGAGCUCCGUAAAACAGGACCUCCCUUGUCUCCUGAGAUUCGCAAACCAGGCCCACCACUAUCUCCAGAGAUCCGUAGCCCGGCAGGAUCUCCAGAGCUCAGAAAACCCUCAGGGUCACCCGAGCUUUGGAAGAUUUCUCCUGAUCAACGGAAAACUUCUCCUGCCUCUCUUGAUUUCCCUGACUCCCAGAAAAGCUCCCGUGGUAGUUCUCCUGAUCUCUGGAAGUCUUCCUUUUUUAUUGAGCCUCAAAAACCUCCUGUCUUCCCUGAAACCCGGAAAGCAGGUCCUUCAGGGCCAUCUGAAUCCCCUAAAGCAGCCUCCGAGAUCUGGAAACCUGUCCUUUCUAUGGAUGCCGAGACUAGGAAACCUGCCCUUUUUUCUGAGCCUGCCAAAACAGCCCCGGCUGCUUCCCCUGAACCAAGGAAGCGUGCUCUUUUCCCCGAGCCCAGGAAACAUGCCCUUUUCCCCGAGCUUCCUAAAUCUGCUAUAUUCUCAGAAUCUCAGAAGGCACUUGAACUUGGUGAUGAACUGCAGGUAGAUGCCAUAGAUGAUCAAAAAUGUGAUAUUUUGGUUCACGAAGAACUUCUAGCUACACCCAAGAGACUUUUAGAAGAUGCCUUAUUUCCUUGCUCAAAGAAGCUCAAGAAAGACAACCAAGAGAACUCAGAUGCCGAGCUUAGUAGUAGUGAGUAUCUCAAGACAGAUUUGGAUGCGAUAGAUAUUAAGGGCCAGGAAUCAAGCAGUGAUCAGGAGCAGGUUGAUGUGGAAUCUCUUGAUUUUAGUAAAGAGAACAAAAUGGAUAUAACUAGUCCAGAGCAGUCCAAAAAUGUGCUUCAGUUUACUGAAGAAAAAGAAGCUUUUAUCUCUGAAGAGGAGAUAGCAAAGUACAUGAAGCGUGGAAAAGGAAAGUAUUAUUGUAAAAUUUGUUGCUGUCGUGCUAUGAAAAAAGGUGCUGUUUUGCAUCAUUUGGUUAAUAAGCAUAAUGUUCACAGCCCUUACAAAUGCACAAUUUGUGGAAAGGCUUUUCUUUUGGAAUCUCUCCUUAAGAAUCAUGUUGCCGCCCAUGGGCAAAGUUUACUUAAAUGUCCGCGUUGUAAUUUUGAGUCAAAUUUCCCAAGAGGCUUUAAGAAACAUUUAACUCAUUGUCAAAGCCGGCACAAUGAAGAGGCAAAUAAAAAGCUAAUGGAGGCUGUCGAACCACCCCUGGAGGAGCAGCAAAUUUAACUUUUGAACACAGUGUGCAUAUAUGCUCUACAAAGGUGUUUGUUAAAACCAUUCUUUGAAAAUACAGCUAAUUAAGUAGCCUGCUCGGGUCAGUUAGAUGUUGAUGUGUACAGUCGUAUUGUGUUCCGUUGUCUUGGUAGUGUUACAGAGAAUAAGCGUUUGGCUAUUUUUUUUAUCAUUUGUUUAUGUGGCUGUCUUGCAAAUCAAAUUCUUAUAUAUUCCAGAUGGAUGGAAAGUUCUCAUUUCUUUUAAGUAUGUUUGAAUAAUAAUAUGAAGAGGCAGGCAUUCCAUUUUAACAAUCAUGAGCAAGUUGUACUCAGUUUAAAACAUCUGGUGUAUCUUCUUGUGAAACUAACUUUGGUCAGUAGAAGUUAUUUGGAUGUUUACAAAUUAGGCUUGAAAAGUAAAUUUCAGAGAAAUUUUGUUCCCUUUUGUUGAAUGUGUUUUCGGAUCCUAAAAGUUAUUUCGAUCAAAGUUUCUAUUUGAUCAUAUAAAAUUAUUUAUAAGUCUUGAACAGUUCUAGAUGUUUAUUAGCUUUUAUGUCAUGGAAAAUUGGAGUCUCAGGGUUGCUGAUUUUCUGCUAAAAGGGGGAAAAUUGAAUAAGUUUUAUAAAUAGUUUGCAGCCUUCUUUUGGAGGAGAGUACUUAGAAAAAGAGAGUGACUGCAGGAAGCUAAGAGAAAGGUUAAUCUGAUACUGAGUUUUUCUUGCCCUCAGUUGUAAAAUAGACUUUCCAUUGGAGUCUUCCAUUCUGUAUUUUAUCCUAAGAUCUGGCUCUUUACUUCCUUGCCAGCUCACGCCAAUAAAUGGUCCUUAAUUGCCAAAUGUGUUAGAGCUUGUACUUCCUACUGCUGGGUCUUGCAUGUCACCUUUUGGGGCUUAAGAUUGGAGGAAUGAGUAGGAACUGAAAGUCUUCCAGAUUCACAGUAGACAAUUUUAUAAAUAGAUGUUUCUGUUUGAAAAACAUUACUUUUAUGUUUUUUACAGUUCUGUUACUUGUGCCUGUUCAUGGAUAAUUUUAUUCUAAAAUAUUUUGUCAAAUGUGUAUCUAUCAAAUUAAAAGCAAAGUUUUUGUUUCAGCGAAGUCCGUGUCUUAAGUACUUUUCAUUGCACGAUAUUGAGCUUCCAUUAUUCUUUCCUAUUUCCACUUGUUUUCAGCAUAUUAGUUUUCACUCCUGGGAACAGCAUUUUCUAAGCUGUGUCUUCUCUGAGGGGGAGAAAACAGUCAUGUAAACUAAGGAAGGCACUGUAUGUUAGGCACCCCUUUGUGGAAAAUCUCAUCCACACACAUUAGGAUAUUAAAGGUUCUGAGAAAUUUAGCUUGUGGUUCUCAACCCUGGCUGUAAUUAAAGACCUUUACAGACUGUAGGGGUACUUGUCAAGUGCUAUAAGGGAUUCCACUGUGUAGCCAUGAUUGAGAUAACUGGGUUUAAUUUAAUUAAUAAAGAAUAGUUUCUCUUUUCAUGGCAUCCCUGUUAACAUGCCAGUUUGGAAGACAAUAGACAAUGCUGGGUGAAGUCUUAGAAGUUUCAGGUCUGGCUCUUACUUUGGUGAGUAUAGUCAAGGGCAAGAAAAGCACUACAAGUGGCCUGCUGCUAUAAUUGUUGUCUGUUUACGUGGGCACUUUGAGAAUGAGCUCCUUCCAGUUCUGAAGUUUCUUCCUAGGCAAUGAUGCCAUCAAGUAGAAUGGGUAAGAAAACUUGGAUAUACAGUUGUCUUUUUUUUUUUUUUUUUCCUCCAUUUACACUGACUUGACUAAGACAGAUGGAGAAACAAGGGUCUCCGGCAUCUAGAAACCCUCUUGAAGCCUGCAUUCUCAAAUCACUGUUAACACCUAAUUCUUUUCCUUAGGACUUCACCCUUUUGGUGUUUGAGCCUCUCACAGAAUCCUUCCUAAACCUUUGCUCAAAGUGGAGCCAGCUAGAUCUCAGGACUCGCCAUCUGAUUUUUGCUGUAUGUGGAUUUUCUCAUGCCCUAAAAUGGGGAAUCCUUUGCCAGAAAACUGGUUGGCAAUAUCUACUAAGUGAUAUGUUCCCAUCUGUAGCAAAAUGUGGAAAGAAUGAGUACAACUCUCAUUCAUCUGGCUCCAAGGAUAGCCUGAAGACAACUAGUCAAGUAUUUGUUCCAGUAACAACCCAUGAAAAUGUCAGCCUUCGAAAAGAGUCAAGUAUUGGCAUACCUGAAUUAGGAAAGGUAUCUCACUAAAGGGAGCUGUGAAUGUUCUGGAGCAGGGGACUUGAAGCUGCUAGCAAUGUCUGUGUAAGUAAAGUUCAUGAUUAAUUAUCUUUGACCAUGGCCGAGGCAUCAGUACUGGGCAUAACUAUAUAGAAAUGCCUUUACAUUUUGGGAACUAGUGGCAAUGCCUCUCUGAAAGCAGAAUUUAGGAAGUGGAAAACUGGCAUCUUUAUAAAGUGUUUUCAUGUCCAUGCUGUCAUUCACCUCUGAAGAGCUUUGGGAGAUAAGUCUAGUGGAAUUGUUCCCAACUUACAAGUGAACCAAAGAGAUUCAGAGGUGGUAUCACUUGCCCAAAUUCACGCUUGGUUUUACUGACUCAAGGUCUGGUCUUCCUUUAUUACACCGUCCCUCCUUUUCCUGUGCUAGAGCCUCCCUUUCUAUGACUAAAGUGAGUCACUACCCCCUUUUAACAGCUUUUGCUUGACAGUCCUUUACAGAUACCAAGUCUUAGAUGUCACAGUUACAGAAACCUUAAAAAAAAAAAAAAAUUUUUGUGGGG